UACGAAGGUGGCAAGCGUUGUUCGGAAUUAUUGGGCGUAAAGGGCGCGUAGGCGGCUUUGCAAGUGGCGGGGUGAAAGCCCUCGGCUUACCGAGGAACUGCCUGUCAGACUGUGAGGCUUGAGACCGGGAGAGGUGAGUGGAAUUCCCAGUGUAGCGGUGAAAUGCGCAGAUAUCAGGAGGAACACCGAUGGCGAAGGCAGGUCUCUGGGCUGUAACUGACGCUGAGGAGCGAAAGCAUGGGGAGCGAACAGG
rnacentral:rRNA from 1 species